rnacentral:rRNA from 1 species
GUGUCAGCCGCCGCGGUAAUACGUAGGGGGCGAGCGUUAACCGGAAUUAUUGGGCGUAAAGAGUGCGUAGGUGGUUUUUUAAGCGUGGGGUGAAAUGCAAUGGCUCAACCAUUGUAAGCCUUGCGAACUGGAAGACUUGAGUGCAGGAGAGGAAAGCGGAAUUCCUAGUGUAGCGGUGAAAUGCGUAGAUAUUAGGAGGAAUACCAGUGGCGAAGGCGGCUUUCUGGACUGUAACUGACACUGAGGCACGAAAGCGUGGGGGGCAAACAUGAGUAGAUACCCUGGUAUGCCCCGCCGUAAA